AGCGAACGCUGGCGGCAGGCCUAACACAUGCAAGUCGAACGAACCUUUCGGGGUUAGUGGCGGACGGGUGAGUAACACGUGGGAACGUGCCUUUAGGUUCGGAAUAACUCAGGGAAACUUGUGCUAAUACCGAAUGUGCCCUUCGGGGGAAAGAUUAAUCGCCUUUAGAGCGGCCCGCGUCUGAUUAGCUAGUUGGUUGAGGUAAUGGCUCACCAAGGCGACGAUCAGUAGCUGGUCUGAGAGGAGGAUCAGCCACAUUGGGACUGAGACACGGCCCAAACUCCUACGGGAGGCAGCAGUGGGGAAUCUUGCGCAAUGGGCGAAAGCCUGACGCAGCCAUGCCGCGUGAAUGAUGAAGGUCUAAGGAUUGUAAAAUUCUUUCACCGGGGACGAUAAUGACGGUACCCGGAGAAGAAGCCCCGGCGAACUUCG
rnacentral:rRNA from 1 species